UAAGCUGUGCUAGAGAAUGGGCUCUAUUGAUUAAAGAAAAGAAAAGAACAAUACAUUUAUAACCUCCCAGCCCCCAUCCCAGACAUUCAGAGACUACAAACUGCAAAACUCAGUCAACUGACAUGAACUCUUGAGUGAGGGAUGGUUUUCAGUUACGAAUAAAGUGGUUAUUCUAGCUUCCUUCUACUUUGCUGAAUGUAGGAGAUUUGUAGGAGGUUUGCGGUUAAAGCAUAAUGGAAGGGAUCUUGGAGAUAACUUGCUGAACUGAGAUGGAAAUGAGAGGGAUUCAAGAGCUUCCCAUAGACUCCAGGAAAAAGGAAAAUCCAGAAGCUUUCUAACCCUUUAAGAUCUUCAGUGAACGUCUUAGCAUCUAUACUACCUGGGAUGAACAGUUAUCAGGAAAAGGCCAUCUCACUUUGGAAGACAAGAGCAGAGGCGGUGCUCAAGUGCUCGCACGUCAAGAAAAAUUAAGAGACAUUCCUGGGGACGUUGGUCUUACAUGCUGAAUUUGAUCUGCUGACUAUCUACGUACUUCCUGAUCUGACUAUAGCAGUCCUCCUGUACAGUCCUCAUUUAGUGACUAUAAUUAGGACCGCAAAAGUGUUAUUAGCAAAAUGGUUGCUAAGUGAAACUGCUUCUGUGCUUAUGAUUUUACUUACUUUGUUUUAUAGACUUGUUAAGAUUAUAAAUGUGAAUAUUAGUAGUAAAGUUACGUUUUCAAGGAGCUGUGGUGGCUUAGUGGUUAGAAUGCAGUAUUGCAGGCUAAUUCUGCUGACUGCCAGGAGUUCGAUCUUUACUGACUCAAGGUUGAUUCACCUUUCAUUCUUCUAAGAUCGGACCCAGAUUGUUGGGGGCAAUAGGCUGACUCUGUGAAUCGCUUAGAAAUUUCUGUAAAGCAUUGUGAAGCAGUAUAUACUGUAAGUCCAAGUGCUAUUACUAUUGCUAUUCCAGUCAUCACUGUGAACAGUCACUAAAUGAGGCAGGUAUUAAAUUAUGACUAUCUGUAUAAAAUGUAA